rnacentral:rRNA from 1 species
UACGUAGGGUGCAAGCGUUGUCCGGAAUUAUUGGGCGUAAAGAGCUCGUAGGCGGCUUGUCGCGUCGUCCGUGAAAACCUGCAGCUCAACUGCAGGCUUGCGGUCGAUACGGGCAGGCUCGAGUUCGGUAGGGGAGACUGGAAUUCCUGGUGUAGCGGUGAAAUGCGCAGAUAUCAGGAGGAACACCGGUGGCGAAGGCGGGUCUCUGGGCCGAUACUGACGCUGAGGAGCGAAAGCGUGGGGAGCGAACAGG